rnacentral:rRNA from 1 species
UAGGGAAUCUUCCACAAUGGGCGAAAGCCUGAUGGAGCAACGCCGCGUGUGUGAUGAAGGCUUUGGGUCGUAAGCACUGUUGUAUGGGAAGAACAGCUAGAAUAGGAAAUGAUUUUAGUUUGACGGUACCAUACCAGAAAGGGACGGCUAAAUACGUGCCAC